UACGUAGGGUGCAAGCGUUAAUCGGAAUUACUGGGCGUAAAGCGUGCGCAGGCGGUGAUGUAAGUCAGACGUGAAAUCCCCGGGCUCAACCUGGGAACUGCAUUUGUGACUGCAUCGCUGGAGUGCGGCAGAGGGAGAUGGAAUUCCGCGUGUAGCAGUGAAAUGCGUAGAUAUGCGGAGGAACACCGAUGGCGAAGGCAAUCCCCUGGGCCUGCACUGACGCUCAUGCACGAAAGCGUGGGGAGCAAACAGG
rnacentral:rRNA from 1 species